GGUCGAAUCCACUGUCUCCUGUGUGAGAUACGUUUCGACCCGGAGCUCCGUCAUUAAAAUACCUCUUGUUGUUACAUCAAGUGUUGUGUUCUAUUCAUGAUUCUUGGGUGCACACCGAAUCGGGAGCUGAGUGGGGGUUUCCCCACUAGGUUCUUUCAUUUGGAGGUUCCACCGAGAUCUGCGUGAUACCCAGGAACCCCGAAGGACCCCUUGGAGGAUACUGCAGGAGAGUGCUAGCUGCCAGAGUGACUGGUGAGACAUGCUGAUGCUGGGACAAUAAAUGAUACUGACCUGUGGACUUGCUGAGUGUCCUGACAAUGGUGACAGAAAAGCUGUAUUGGACCUAUGUUCUUGACCCACCUUUGCUUGCCUAGAUCCCAGAUUGGACAAGCUGCCUUACUUCAAGCUUUUAGACCUUGUGGAACAGAGAACAUGGAGACCCUGGAAACUGCCUUAGAAAAAUUAAUCAAAAGGAGAAGUUAUAAUGACUCUCCUCUUUCCUUUAAUGUGAUCAGUUAUUAUGACUCAACCAUGAACUGGUAUAGAAAUCUACUAGGCCUUCAAAGAAGACCUAAUACUCUUCAAACUAUUCUGCAAAAUAAAAACUAAAGGAACACUACCCAAUUUGUAAUAUGAAGCCACAGUGAUGCUAAUACCAAAACCACACAAAGACCCAAUAAAGAAAAAGAACUUCAGACCAAUUUCCCUUAUGUACAUCAAUGCAAAAAUACUCAAUAAAAUUAUUGCGAACCGAAUCUAAGAACACAUCAAACGAUUAUUCAUCACGAUCAAGUAGGCUUCCUUCCAGGGAUGCAGAGGUGGUUCAAUAUAGAGAAAUCCACCAACAUAAUCUACUACAUUAAAAAAUUCAAAGAAAAAAAACCAUGAUCAUUUCAUUAGAUGCUGAAAAAUCAGUUGACAAAAUUCAACAUCCCUUCAUGUUAAAAGUCUUGGAAAGAUCAGGAAUUCAAUGUCCAUACCUAAACUUAGAAAACACAAUAUACAGCAAACCAGUAGCCAACAUCAAACUAAAUGGAGAGAAACUUGAAGCAAUCCCACUAAAAUCGGAGACUAGACAAGGCUGCCUACUCUCUCUCUACCUAUUCAAUAUAGUACUCAAAGGCCUAGCCAGAGCAAUUAGACAACAAAAGGAGGUGAAAGGGAUACAAAUUGAAAAUGGAGAAGUCAAAAUAUCACUAUCCCCAGAUGAUAAAUGAUAGUAUGAUGAAGUGACCCCAAAAAUUCCACCAGAGAACUCCUAAACCUGAUGAGCAACUUCAACAAAGUGGCUGGAUAUAAAAUUAACUAGAACAAAUCAGUAGUCUUCCUAUACUACAAGGAUAAAUGGGCUGAAAACUAAAUAAGGGAAAUGAUACCCUUCACAAUAGUCACAAACAAUAUAAAAUAUCUUCAUAAGACUCUAACCAAACAAAUGAAAGAUCUGUAUGGCAAGAACUUCAAGUCUGUGAAGAAAGAAAUUGAAGAAGACUUCGGAAGAUGGAAAGAUCUCCCAUGCUCAUGGAUUGGCAGGAUUAAUAUAGUCAAUACGGUCAUCUCGCUGAAAGCAAUCUACAGAUUCAAUGUAAUCCCUAUCAAAGUUCAAACUCAAUUCUUCAC
rnacentral:lncRNA from 1 species